GUCUGCUUACAGAACAGCAUGUGCUGCAGAACAGAGGGUGAGGGACAUUACACUGAUGUCUGCUUGUGGGUUGCCCAAGAGGCAUUUGGGUGGACCACUGUGAGAACAGAAUGCUGGGCUGGAUGAGCUUUUCCUCUGAUCCAGCAGGGCUCUUCUUAUGUCCAUAUACAGUGUACAGAGGCGGUUUCGGGGAGCGCAACCGGUUCGGCCGUACUGGGCAUCGCGUUGCAGGGAGCAGCACAACAAUGCAGCACGAUGCAGUGCGAGAGGUGUGAUAUUGCCAAAUGUUAGCAACAGCACAGGGCACCGCUGGAAUUUGAGAGCCCAAAGUCCACCACUGCAGGGUGUGGGUGAAAAGGUGGG